AGUCUUCUCUGCAGACACCAGCCUGGUGUCCUCCUUCAUCCCAGGCUGCCAGGCUAGGCAGGGGGCAGCGGCUGCCCUGGUCCUCACAGCCCUGGCUGCGGGGCCGGUGACAGCCAGAUCCUCAUGCUUCUGCGACCACAGCGCUGCCUUCAGACACCUCUCUGCUGGCAUAUUCCUGGGUCCAUGAUGGAAGAAGGAAAAGUAUUUUUAAAAGGCAAUCUAAAGCUCAUACUGUGACUGCAACAUAAAAUGUGUUCACCUUAGGAGACUGCUUUCACCGCAAGUGGGUCACCGAUGGUGGAAACCUCAGAAGGCCACAGUCCAUAGUAGGGGCUCAAUGCAAGCUGCUGGAACUGAAUGAAGGUCUCUGAUGGUUCUGGUUUCCUGGGCACCCAGAAUAUGUGUGUCACCAUUUGUCCUGAAGCUGACAUCUCUGAGCUGGAUGGCACCCUGGACAUCAACCGGCCCUUCACCUUCACAUCACACAGGAGGGACACUGGUCCAUAGACAGGAUGCCUGCUCUGGUCACCAGCUGGAGGGUGGCAGAACUUGGGUACCUGAGCUUUGGACUCUGCCACGCAGAGCACUUCCUCAGUCCCUCCUGCUGCCCCUGGCAGGGUGGAGCUGGCAGGGCAGCUGAUCCAGGACCGUCCACUUCCCAGCCAGCAGGAGGAUGGAAAAGCGGAAUGGAGGGGGAGACAACCUCCUUUGCAGGGCGUGACUGGGAAGUUGGACAUAUCAUUUCCAGCCGCUUUCCAUGGACCAGA
rnacentral:lncRNA from 1 species